UACGGAGGGUGCAAGCGUUAUCCGGAUUCACUGGGUUUAAAGGGUGCGUAGGUGGGCAGGUAAGUCAGUGGUGAAAUCUCCGGGCUUAACCCGGAAACUGCCAUUGAUACUAUCUGUCUUGAAUACCGUGGAGGUGAGCGGAAUAUGUCAUGUAGCGGUGAAAUGCUUAGAUAUGACAUAGAACACCAAUUGCGAAGGCAGCUCACUAGACGAAUAUUGACACUGAGGCACGAAAGCGUGGGGAGCAAACAGG
rnacentral:rRNA from 1 species